rnacentral:rRNA from 1 species
CAGUCGCCGCGGGAAUACAGAGGGUGCGAGCGUUAAUCGGAUUUACUGGGCGUAAAGCGUGCGUAGGUGGUUUGUUAAGUUGGAUGUGAAAGCCCCGGGCUCAACCUGGGAACUGCAUCCAAAACUGGCAAGCUAGAGUACGGUAGAGGGUGGUGGAAUUUCCUGUGUAGCGGUGAAAUGCGUAGAUAUAGGAAGGAACACCAGUGGCGAAGGCGACCACCUGGACUGAUACUGACACUGAGGUGCGAAAGCGUGGGGAGCAAACAGGAUUAGAUACCCGUGUAGUCCCUGUCUCUUAUAC